AUUGAACGCUGGCGGCAUGCCUUACACAUGCAAGUCGAACGGCAGCAUGGAGAGCUUGCUCUCUGAUGGCGAGUGGCGAACGGGUGAGUAAUGCAUCGGAACGUACCGUGUAAUGGGGGAUAACGUAGCGAAAGUUACGCUAAUACCGCAUACGACCUGAGGGUGAAAGCAGGGGAUCGCAAGACCUUGCGUUAUACGAGCGGCCGAUGUCAGAUUAGCUAGUUGGUGAGGUAAAGGCUCACCAAGGCGACGAUCUAUAGCGGGUCUGAGAGGAUGAUCGGCCAAAGUGGGACUGAGACACGGCCCAGACUAAUACGGGAGGCAGCAGUGGGGAAUUUUGGACAAUGGGGGCAACCCUGAUUCAGACAUGCCGCGUGAGUGAAGAAGGCCUUCGGGUUGUAAAGCUCUUUCGGCCAGGAAGAAAUCGCACAGGCUAAUACUCUGUGUGGAUGACGGUACCGGCAUAAGAAGCACCGGCUAACUACGUGCCAGCCGCCGCGGUAA
rnacentral:rRNA from 1 species